GACGAACGCUGGCGGCGUGCUUAACACAUGCAAGUCGAACGGAAAGGCCCUGCUCUUGUGGGGUGCUCGAGUGGCGAACGGGUGAGUAACACGUGAGUAACCUGCCCUUGACUUUGGGAUAACUUCAGGAAACUGGGGCUCAUACCGGAUAGGAGCUCUUGCUGCAUGGUGGGGGUUGGAAAGUUUCGGCGGUUGGGGAUGGACUCGCGGCGUAUCAGCUUGUUGGUGGGGUAGUGGCUUACCAAGGCGUUGACGGGUAGCCGGCCUGGGAGGGUGACCGGCCACAUUGGGACUGAGAUACGGCCCAGACUCCUACGGGAGGCAGCAGUGGGGAAUAUUGCACAAUGGGCGGAAGCCUGAUGCAGCAACGCCGCGUGCGGGAUGACGGCCUUCGGGUUGGAAACCGCUUUCGCCUGUGACGAAGCGUGAGUGACGGUAAUGGGUAAAGAAGCACCGGCUAACUACGUG
rnacentral:rRNA from 1 species